GUGCAGUGACUUCUAUGUUUUGGGUUGAUGCUGAAUUAGGGAGUGAUAUUUACCUUGAUGGUAUCAUAACUAUUGUGGAUUCAAAAUAUGGAUUAAAAGUGAAAUACCACUAAAGGCAGAAGAGAAUGAAAUCAUCCCACCCACUGACCCGUUCCCAAUCUGAGCAUAUGGAUAGGGCCCAAAGCACAUUUAACAGAAGAGAAACCUGAUGGCCUUAUCAAUGAAGCUACUAGAUCCAUAAAUGGACUAGGACAAAUCUUAGAAACACAAAGAUCAAGGUACUUUAAAAAAGCUAUUCCUAUUAAUAACAAAUCAUUUUAGUUAUUAAUAAUAAACAUUAAGUAAUUGACAAAUAUGCUUGAUUCUGAUAUAAGAAAGAUCUAAGUUCAUUUAAAAAGAAUUGGAUCCAAAAUGUUGUUUGGAAUGCUCUUAAUAAGUUAGUUUGGCAUAUUUGGCUAGUACAUUUGCCUGUCUUCAAAACUAAGAUUACAAAGCCAUGGUAACACUGUGUAAGUGUUUGCUUAAUGAGGAAGAAAAGACUUCCAAACACUCGAGAGGGUAACUCAGUACAGAAAUCUGAAGUAUAUUGAGGAAUCUUAAUUUGAAGUGUUUAAAUGGCAUUUUAAUAUUUAAAAAGCCUUCUUAGUGUUUUAUAGUUGCCAAAAAAUACAUGGAGUCUUUACCUUGAAGUUCCUGACAAAUUCUUUUAUUAAAUUUUGACUUUCAUUUUCUCUAGGUUCUGUUCCUAAAACAUCUGUGAAGUGUAUUUCUGUAGAUUAAAUUCUGUUUUCCAUUGAAUGUUAUCUUAAUUUCAGAAAAUUUCUGUGCAGGGAUAUUUUAUUAAGCUCAUUUUUUUUUUUUUUUUUUUUUUUUUUUUUGUGGUGAGAAAGGCUCAGCAGCUGAUAGACUCAGCAACAGGCAGCCAGGAGCUCUGAGGCUCACAGCUGGCAGUCUAGUUCUACUCAGUCUCUACUUGAGAAAUUCUUUCUUUGGAAGUACAGCAGAGGCCUUAGAUGAGUGGCUUGUCUGCUAUGGCAGAGAUUAGAGGUGCUGCCAGACUGCCAUUAAGUGUUAGGCAGUAACAGCAGCAGCUGCUUAUAUGCAUGUGAACAGCUGGGGAAUUAAUUUGGUAUGCAUUCUCAGGAGCCGCUCAUCUGCUGGCAGAGGUAGCCGAAGAAUGCCCUUUAGUGUAAGUCCUCUACAACCAUACACCAAAUGUGCUCCCUGCAUUUCAAAUUCCAUUGUAGAAAGUCUCUGAUAAUCUCACUUAUACCAUGAGCCAUUCCUCAGUAUCUGUCCUCUUCCUGUUAGUGUUCUACAAUUCCUUUCUCCUUAAUUUUUCUCCGCUUUACAAAAUGUCACACAGACAAGUGCAUAAUACUUAAACAAGCUUUUAAAAAUAAUGCUCAUAAAUAGCUUUGGUUCUGUCAUAAUAUUCGUAUUUAUAAACAUUUUAAGUCAAUUCUCUUCUUUUGUUUUCAUUUCAGAAAUAUCCAUGUCCUGAAUAAAAGUUGUGUCUUGAUUAGUUUAUUAUGUAACAAUUUAGUGUGUUUGACAUUUCUAACUUUUAUUUCUAACAUUUGCUUUAUUAUAGAACAAUAAACAUGCAGUGAUUGAUUUUUCUUACUUCAAGUGGAUGAGUGAGCAAGUGACUAAAAUCUUCUGUGAAUUCUUCAGUGUAUGGUUCUUGCCAAUGCAUCUGAGAAUCUAGGGACUUUCUGAAAUAGUACUUCCUUGCUAUGAGGACUGAAGUUGGAUUAGAAUCCGUUUCAAUGAAGAUCAGAUGUCCUGAGUAGAAUUCUUACUAUUGGGUCCUGAAUCUUACAUUAAAUAUUCUCUCAAAUUCCUUGAGGCAUAGCAACUUGAGCUUACCAGUUUAGAAACUGGAGAUUUGGGCUGGGUGCGGUGGCUCAUGCCUGUAAUCCCAGCACUUUGGGAGGCCAAGGUGGGCGGAUCACGAGGUCAGGAGAUGGAGACCAUCCUGGCUAACACUGUGAAACCCAUCUCUACUAAAAAUACAAAAAAUUAGCUGAGCCUGGUGGUGGGCGCCUGUAGUCCCAGCUACUCAGGAGGCUGAGGCAGGAGAAUGGCGUGAACCCGGGAGGCGGAGCUUGCAGUGAGCUGAGAUCGCACCACUGCACUCCAGCCUGGGUGACAGAGCGAGACUCUGUCUCAAAAAAAAAAAAA
rnacentral:lncRNA from 1 species